AUUAAGAUGUCUGAUUUAAGUAGUAAACUGUAAAUUUACUUAAGGGUUGAAAUUUCCCUCUUAAUA
rnacentral:tRNA from 1 species